AAUAUUUAACAAUGGUGGCAACCCUGAUCCAGCCAUCUCGCUUGUGCGAUGAAGGCCUUCGGGUUNUAAAGCACUUUUGGCAGGGANGAGAAGUCUCUGGCUAAUACCUGGAGCUGCUGACGGUACCUGCAGAAUAAGCACCGGCUAACUACGUGCCAGCAGCCGCGGUACUACGUAGGGUGCAAGCGUUAAUCGGAAUUACUGGGCGUAAAGCGUGCGCAGGCGGUUCGGCAAGAAGGAUGUGAAAUCCCAGGGCUUAACCUUGAAACUGCAUUCUUAACUGCCGGGCUAGAGUAUGUCAGAGGGGGGUAGAAUUCCGCGUGUAGCAGUGAAAUGCGUAGAGAUGCGGAGGAAUACCGAUGGCGAAGGCAGCCCCCUGGGAUAAUACUGACGCUCAUGCACGAAAGCGUGGGGAGCAAACA
rnacentral:rRNA from 1 species